AACCAGCCAAGGUUCAUGACGAUGACGAAGACGUGUCGAGCGAAGACGAGAACGAGACACACAACAGCAACGCCGUGUACUACAAGGAGAUGAUAAGAAAAUCCAACGCCGAGCUUGAACCGUCCGUUUUGGACCCGAGGGACGAAUACACGGCUGAUAGCUGGAUCGAGCGUAACCCUUCCAUGGUACGUCUCACAGGGAAACAUCCCUUCAACUCCGAGGCGCCUCUUAACCGUUUAAUGCACCACGGGUUUAU
rnacentral:sRNA from 1 species